rnacentral:rRNA from 1 species
GACGAACGCUGGCGGCGUGCUUAACACAUGCAAGUCGAACGGAAAGGCCCUGCUUUUGUGGGGUGCUCGAGUGGCGAACGGGUGAGUAACACGUGAGUAACCUGCCCUUGCCUUUGGGAUAACUUCAGGAAACUGGGGCUAAUACCGGAUAGGAGCUCCUGCUGCAUGGUGGGGGUUGGAAAGUUUCGGCGGUUGGGGAUGGACUCGCGGCGUAUCAGCUUGUUGGUGGGGUAGUGGCUUACCAAGGCUUUGACGGGUAGCCGGGCUGAGAGGGUGACCGGCCACAUUGGGACUGAGAUGCGGCCCAGACUCCUACGGGAGGCAGCAGUGGGGAAUAGUGCACAAUGGGCGGAAGCCUGAUGCAGCAACGCCGCGUGCGGGAUGACGGCAUUCGGGUUGUAAACCGCUUUCGCCUGUGACGAAGCGUGAGUGACGGUAAUGGGUAAAGAAGCACCGGCUAACUACGUG